AUAAAGCAUUUUGUGGGAUGUCAUCUCAUAAUUUCUUUUCAUUCAUCCCCUGUGCAGCUCUUCUUUCAUUUACAUCACAGAACAACAAUGGCAGCAGCAGCUUUGUCCAGAAGCAGAGCAGCGGCUGGAGGCCUGUACUUCCUCCUCACUCUGCUGGGUCUGGUUUGCAUCACAAGUUCACUGAUAGACAACAAAAAAAUGG